rnacentral:rRNA from 1 species
AUUGAACGCUGGCGGCGUGCUUAACACAUGCAAGUCGAUCGGUAACAGGUGUAGCAAUACAUGCUGACGAGAGGCGGACGGGUGAGGAAUAUUUGGGAAUCUGCCCAUCAGCGGGGAACAACCCGGGGAAACCCGGGCUAAUACCGCAUACGCUCUACGGAGGAAAGCCGGGGACCGCAAGGCCUGGCACUGCUGGAUGCGCCCAAAUCGGAUUAGCUAGUUGGCGGGGUAACGGCCCACCAGGGCGACGAUCCGUAGCUGGUCUGAGAGGACGAUCAGCCACACCGUAACUGAGACACGGUCCGGACUCCUACGGGAGGCAGCAGUGGGGAAUAUUUGACAAUGGGGGAAACCCUGAUCCAGCGACGCCGCGUGGGUGAAGAAGGCCUGCGGGUUGUAAAGCCCUUUCGGUAGGGACGAAAGCUCUUGCUCCAACAAAGCAGGAGGUUGACUUAACCUACAUAAGAAGCACCGGCUAACUCUGUGCCAGCCGCCGCCGUAACAC